AACGAACGCUGGCGGCAGGCUUAACACAUGCAAGUCGAGCGCCCCGCAAGGGGAGCGGCAGACGGGUGAGUAACGCGUGGGAAUCUACCCAUCUCUACGGAAUAACGCAUGGAAACGUGUGCUAAUACCGUAUACGUCCUUCGGGAGAAAGAUUUAUCGGAGAUGGAUGAGCCCGCGUUGGAUCAGCUAGUUGGUGGGGUAAAGGCCUACCAAGGCGACGAUCCAUAGCUGGUCUGAGAGGAUGAUCAGCCACACUGGGACUGGGACACGGCCCAGACUCCUACGGGAGGCAGCAGUGGGGAAUAUUGUACACUGGGCGCAAGCUUGAUCCAGCCAUGCCGCGUCAGUGAUGAAGGCCCUAGGGUUGUAAAGCUCUUUCACCGGUGAAGAUAAUGACGGUAACCGGAGAAGAAGCCCCGGCUAACUUCGUGCCAGCCGCCGCCGUAAUAC
rnacentral:rRNA from 1 species